rnacentral:rRNA from 1 species
UACGGGGGGGGCAAGCGUUGUUCGGAAUUACUGGGCGUAAAGGGCUCGUAGGCGGCCAACUAAGUCGGAUGUGAAAUCCCCAAGCUUAACUUGGGAACUGCAUCCGAUACUGGAUGGCUUGAAUCCGGGAGAGGGAUGCAGAAUUCCAGGUGUAGCGGUGAAAUGCGUAGAUAUCUGGAGGAACACCGGUGGCGAAGGCGGCAUCCUGGACCGGCAUUGACGCUGAGGCGCGAAAGCUAGGGGAGCAAACGGG